rnacentral:rRNA from 1 species
CCUACGGGUGGCAGCAGUGAGGAAUAUUGGUCAAUGGGCGUAAGCCUGAACCAGCCAAGUCGCGUGAGGGAUGAAGGUUCUAUGGAUCGUAAACCUCUUUUAUAAGGGAAUAAAGUGUGGGACGUGUCCUGUUUUGUAUGUACCUUAUGAAUAAGGAUCGGCUAACUCCGUGCCAGCAGCCGCGGUAAUACGGAGGAUCCGAGCGUUAUCCGGAUUUAUUGGGUUUAAAGGGUGCGUAGGCGGAAUGCCAAGUCAGCGGUAAAAUCGCGGGGCUCAACCUCGCUCCGCCGUUGAAACUGGCGGUCUUGAGUGGGCGAGAAGUAUGCGGAAUGCGUGGUGUAGCGGUGAAAUGCAUAGAUAUCACGCAGAACUCCGAUUGCGAAGGCAGCAUACCGGCGCCCAACUGACGCUGAAGCACGAAAGCGUGGGUAUCGAACAGGAUUAGAUACCCCUGUAGUC